AUUGAACGCUGGCGGCAGGCCUAACACAUGCAAGUCGAACGAGUGGCGGACGGGUGAGUAAUGUCUGGGAAACUGACUGAUGGAGGGGGAUAACUACUGGAAAAGGUAGCUAAUACCGCAUACCAUCGGAUGUGCCAAGAUGGGAUUAGCUAGUAGGUGGGGUAAAGGCUCACCUAGGCGAAGAUCCAUAGCUGGUCAGCGAGGAUGACCAGCCAAACUGGAACUGAGACACGGUCCAGACUGCUACGGGAGUCAGCAGGGGGGAAUAUGGCACAAUGGGCGCAAGCCGGAUGCAGCCAGGCCGCGUGUAUGAAGAAGGCUUUCGGGUUGUAAAGUACUUUCAGCGGGGAGGCGUGACCCGCAGAAGAAGCACCGGCUAACUCCGUGCCAGCAGCCGCGGUAAUUC
rnacentral:rRNA from 1 species